rnacentral:rRNA from 1 species
UACGGAGGAUCCGAGCGUUAUCCGGAUUUAUUGGGUUUAAAGGGUGCGCAGGCGGGAGAUUAAGUCGGCGGUGAAAUUUUGCAGCUCAACUGUAAAAGUGCCUUCGAAACUGGUUUCCUUAAGUGUAGAUGAAGUAGGCGGAAUUUGUGGUGUAGCGGUGAAAUGCAUAGAUAUCACGAGGAACUCCGAUUGCGCAGGCAGCUUACUAAACUACUACUGACGCUCAGGCACGAAGGCGUGGGGAUCAAACAGGAUUAGAUACCCGUGUAGUCCCU